rnacentral:tRNA from 1 species
UCCGGGGUAGCUCAAUUGGCAGAGCGCCGGCCUGUUAAGCCGUUUGUUGCGGGUUCAAGUCCCGCCCCCGGAGCCA